rnacentral:rRNA from 1 species
AUUGAACGCUGGCGGAAUGCUUUACACAUGCAAGUCAAGCGGCAGCACGGGGGCAACCCUGGUGGCGAGCGGCGAACGGGUGAGUAAUACAUCGGAACAUGCCCAGUCGUGGGGGAUAACACUUCGAAAGAAGUGCUAAUACCGCAUACGUCCUGAGGGAGAAAGCGGGGGAUCUUCGGACCUCGCGCGAUUGGAGUGGCCGAUGUCAGAUUAGCUAGUUGGUGGGGUAAAGGCCUACCAAGGCAACGAUCUGUAGCUGGUCUGAGAGGAUGAUCAGCCACACUGGGACUGAGACACGGCCCAGACUCCUACGGGAGACAGCAGUGGGGAAUUUUGGACAAUGGGGGCAACCCUGAUCCAGCCAUUCCGCGUGAGUGAAGAAGGCCUUCGGGUUGUAAAGCUCUUUCGGCAGGAACGAAACGGCGAGCUCUAACAUAGCUUGCUAAUGACGGUACCUGAAGAAGAAGCACCGGCUAACUACGUGCCAGCCGCCGCCGCGGUAA